GAUGAAGAACUCAGCGAAAUGCGAUAAGUAGUGUGAAUUGCAGAAUUCAGUGAAUCAUCGAAUCUUUGAACGCACAUUGCGCCCUUUGGUAUUCCUUAGGGCAUGCCUGUUCGAGCGUCAUUUGAAACCUCAAGCUCAGCUUGGUGUUGGGUGUCUGUCCCCGCCUCACCGCGGGGACUCGCCUCAAAAUCAUUGGCGGCCGGUACGUUGGCUUCGAGCGCAGCAGAAACGCGAACUCGAGGCCCGGCGGAUCGGCGACCAGAAGUCACUUCUUCACAGUUUGACCUCGGAUCAGGUAGGGAUACCCGCUGAACUUAAGCAUAUCAAUAAGCGGAGGA
rnacentral:misc_RNA from 1 species